rnacentral:rRNA from 1 species
AUAAACGCUGGCGGCGUGCCUAAUACAUGCAAGUCGAACGAGGGCAGCAAUGCUCGAGUGGCGGACGGGUGAGUAACGCGUGGGUGACCUGCCUUUCAGUGGGGGAUACCCGCUAGAAAUAGCGGCUAAGACCGCAUGAGGUCCGACCUUCGGUGGUCGGAAGAAAACCGCAAGGUGCUGAAAGAGGGGCCCGCGUCUGAUUAGCUGGUUGGUGGGGUAACGGCCUACCAAGGCGACGAUCAGUAGCUGGUCUGAGAGGAUGAUCAGCCACACUGGGAUUGAGAACGGCCCAGACUCCUACGGGGGGCAGCAGUAAGGAAUUUUCCGCAAUGGUCGAAAGACUGACGGAGCAACGCCGCGUGCGGGAUGACGUUUUUCGGAAUGUAAACCGCUUUUUCACGUGAAGAGAACGGACGGUAGCGUGAGAAUCAGCAUCGGCUAACUACGUGCCAGCAGCCGCGGUAAUACGUAGGAUGCAAGCGUUGUCCGGAGUUAUUGGGCGUAAAGCGCAUGUAGGCGGGUGUGUAAGUGUGGUGUGAAACCUCCGGGCUUAACUCGGAGUGGUCGCUGCAAACUGCACGCCUGGAGGGCUGGAGAGGCAGACGGAAUUCCCGGUGUAGUGGUGAAAUGCGUAGAUAUCGGGAGGAACACCAGUGGCGAAGGCGGUCUGCUGGCCAGUACCUGACGCUGAGAUGCGAAAGCUAGGGGAGCGAACGGGAUUAGAUACCCCGGUAGUCCUAGCCGUAAACGAUGACCACUAGAUGUCAGGAGUAUCGACCCCCCUGGUGUCGCAGCUAACGCCGUAAGUGGUCCGCCUGGGGAGUACGGCCGCAAGGUUGAAACUCAAAGGAAUUGACGGGGGCCGCACAAGCAGCGGAGCGUGUGGUUUAAUUCGACGCAACGCGCAGAACCUUACCGGGGCUUGACAUGACCGUGAAAACCUAGGAGACUAGGACCCCCGCAAGGGCACGGCCACAGGUGCUGCAUGGCUGUCGUCAGCUCGUGUCGUGAGAUGUUGGGUUAAGUCCCGCAACGAGCGCAACCCUCGUGCCUAGUUACCCUGUCUAGGCAGACUGCCGCGAGAAACGCGGAGGAAGGUGGGGAUGACGUCAAGUCAGCACGGCCCUUACGUCCCGGGCUACACACACGCUACAAUGGCAUCGACAGAGGGCGGCCAAGGCGCGAGCCGGAGCAAAUCCCACAAACGAUGCCUCAGUUCAGAUUGGAGGCUGCAACCCGCCUCCAUGAAGUCGGAGUUGCUAGUAACCGCCGGUCAGCAUACGGCGGUGAAUAUGUUCCCGGGCCUUGUACACACCGCCCGUCACACCAUGAAAGUUGGCAACACCUGAAGUCGCUGGGCUAACCCGCAAGGGGGGUAGGCGCCGAGGGUGGGGUCGAUGAUUAGGGUG